CCUUAAGCGAUCAUGUCUGUGAUCAUGCUACUGAAAUAGGGAGGUCCUGGAAGACCAGCAAACUGAGAGAGGACGGAGAAGUCGGAGCCAUGGCUAUGUGUCUAGAAGCAGUGGUGGUGCUUCCAGCAACGCUGUGCUAGAGAAAGGCAGGACCAUGAUGGAGUUUGUCCCCAGAGGCAAUGUGACUUGAAGGCACCACCUGAGCCUUGCAGCAUAACCCAUGGCUGAAGGGUGAGGGAAACUCAGCCAUUUCCUGCUUAGCAGAGAUGGAUCUACUUUUGUACAUGCCAGCAUGCUGAAGAAAAUGGAGGAAAUGGCAUUUUCUGAUGACAGCUCUAGUACCUACCCUGUGGAGCUGUAUGAGCUUUUUUUGAAAUUCAAGUUCACAGAGACAUAUCAAGAGCCAACAUUGAAAACAGCAAUAAUAAAAUAAACCCAAGUAGUUUACAGAAGGUUUACAUCUUAAAUACACAUUUGGAAGGCAGAAAAAAUUAGGCCAAGGAUUU
rnacentral:lncRNA from 1 species